rnacentral:pre_miRNA from 1 species
GAUGGCCGGCACGCGGUGUCAACCAGGCCACCAUUCCUCUCCGCAUUAAAGCACUCGGUGGGGGAGGGUGCCCUGGUUGACACAAUGUGCCGCGCAUC